rnacentral:rRNA from 1 species
ACCGGGUGCUAACGUCCGGACUCAAGAGGGAAACAACCCAGACCGCCAGCUAAGGUCCCUAAAAUUGGCUAAGUGGGAAACGAAGUGGGAAGGCUAAAACAGUCAGGAUGUUGGCUUAGAAGCAGCCAUCAUUUAAAGAAAGCGUAAUAGCUCACUGAUCGAGUCGUCCUGCGCGGAAGAUGUAACGGGGCUAAGCCAGUUACCGAAGCUGCGGAUGUGCAAUUUAUUGCACGUGGUAGGAGAGCGUUCUGUAAGCCUGUGAAGGUGUCUGGUAACGGAUGCUGGAGGUAUCAGAAGUGCGAAUGCUGACAUGAGUAGCGUUAAAAGGGGUGAAAAGCCCCUUCGCCGUAAGCGCAAGGUUUCCUACGCAACGUUCAUCGGCGUAGGGUGAGUCGGCCCCUAAGGCGAGGCAGAGAUGCGUAGCUGAUGGGAAACAGGUCAAUAUUCCUGUACCGAUCAAUAGUGCGAUGUGGGGACGGAGAAGGUUAGCUCAGCCACCUGUUGGAAUAGGUGGUUCAAGCGUGUAGUCGUGCCUGGUAGGCAAAUCCGCCGGGCUUAGAUGAGGCGUGAUAACGAGUGUGCUUGCACACGAAGUGAGUGAUACCCUGCUUCCAGGAAAAGCCACUAAGCUUCAGCUAUUGAUUGACCGUACCGCAAACCGACACUGGUGCGCGAGAUGAGUAUUCUAAGGCGCUUGAGAGAACUCUGGAGAAGGAACUCGGCAAAUUGAUACCGUAACUUCGGGAGAAGGUAUGCCCUCGGUAUGUGAAGUUGAACAAACGGAGCAGAAAAGGGUUGCAAAAAAUCGGUGGCUGCAACUGUUUAAUAAAAACACAGCACUCUGCAAACACGAAAGUGGACGUAUAGGGUGUGACGCCUGCCCGGUGCUGGAAGAUUAAAUGAUGGGGUGCAAGCUCUUGAUUGAAGUCCCAGUAAACGGCGGCCGUAACUAUAACGGUCCUAAGGUAGCGAAAUUCCUUGUCGGGUAAGUUCCGACCUGCACGAAUGGCAUAACGAUGGCCACACUGUCUCCUCCCGAGACUCAGUGAAGUUGAAAUGUUUGUGAUGAUGCAAUCUACCCGCGGCUAGACGGAAAGACCCCAUGAACCUUUACUGCAGCUUUGCAUUGAACUGUGAACCGAUUUGUGUAGGAUAGGUGGGAGGCAGAGAAGAGGCCACGCCAGUGGUCUUGGAGCCGACCUUGAAAUACCACCCUGAUUUGUUUGCGGUUCUAACCACGGACAGUGAUCCUGUCUUGGGACCGUGCAUGGUAGGCAGUUUGACUGGGGCGGUCUCCUCCUAAAGGGUAACGGAGGAGUACGAAGGUACGCUAGGUACGGUCGGAAAUCGUGCUGAUAGUGCAAUGGCAAAAGCGUGCUUGACUGCGAGAGCAACAACUCGAGCAGAUGCGAAAGCAGGUCAUAGUGAUCCGGUGGCUCUGAAUGGAAGGGCCAUCGCUCAACGGAUAAAAGGUACUCUGGGGAUAACAGGCUGAUACCGCCCAAGAGUUCAUAUCGACGGCGGUGUUUGGCAC